UCUCUCUCUCUCUCUCUCUGUGUUAAAUUUGUACACAAAAUGAUGUCAUGGACUCAUGGAUAUUAUUCCCUCAUAAUCGUUAUGUUGAAACGAUGCCAUAUCUCAGCAUGCUUUCUUAACUGCUUUCAAGGGACCAUCAGAAUUUUUACUGGCAACUAAAGGACUGAUGGACAAAGAAAAUUACACCAUCGGUUUGUCCAAGUUGUCAACAUAGAAGAUCUACACAUUUUCUUUUUAGGUUGAGUGUUGGGGUUCUGGUUGGAUUGUUAGGCGAGGAUUAAGGAUGCCAAAUUACGCAUCAGUUUCCACUUGGGCAUUAUUUGUUAUUCAUCACUAAUAAGGGAGUAGCAUGAAAAAUGGAGCUCAUGCUGGAGGGAGUGGAGAAAAGGAAACAAAAGAAGCUAAGAAAGUUAUGCGAGUAUGUGCUUUUUGUACGUCUUUACACCAUGUAGACUUGAACUCAUAUCGUAAAAGUCUCUGUAUAGUCUUUAAAUGUAUUCAACGUUAUUCAUGCUGCUUGCCUUUAAAAAAAAAACAA